UAACACGUGGGAACGUUCCCUAUACUCGAGGAUAGCUCAUCGAAAGAUGUGGUAAUACUCGAUAGUCCCUUGCACCAUUUUGGUGCUAGGGUAAAGCUCCGGCGGUAUAGGAUCGGCCCGCGGCCUAUCAGGUUGUUGGUAGGGUAAUUGCCUACCAAGCCGAUGACGGGUAGCUGGUCUGAGAGGAUGUCCAGCCAGACUGGGACUGUGACACGGCCCAGACUCCUACGGGAGGCAGCAACUAGGAAUUGUGCGCAAUGGACGAAAGUCUGACGCCGCGACACCGCGUGAAGGAUGAAGGUUCUAGGAUUGUAAACUUCUUUUCUGAGGGAACAAGUUCUGAGAGUACCUCAGGAAUAAGUGCCUGCUAACCACGUGCCAGAAGCAUCGGUAAUACGUGGGGCACGAGCGUUAUCCGGAAUUACUGGGCGUAAAGAGAUGCGUAGGCGUCUCAACAAGUUUUAUGUUAAAUCCUGUGGCUCAACCACAGAAUCGCAUAAAAAACUAUUGAGAUUGAGUCAGUUAGAGAAGAGGGGAAUUCCUGGUGGAGCGGUUAAAUGCGUUGAUAUCAGGAGGAAUACCAAUGGCGAAGGCACCUCUUUGGAACUGUACUGACGCUAAGGCUCGAAAGCGUGGGGAGCAAAACGGAUUAGAUACCCGUGUAGUCCACGCUGUAAACGUUCCCUGUUAGAUGU
rnacentral:rRNA from 1 species